UACAGGCUUAACACAUGCAAGUCGAGGGGCAGCAUGGUCUUAGCUUGCUAAGGCCGAUGGCGACCGGCGCACGGGUGAGUAACACGUAUCCAACCUGCCGUCUACUCUUGGACAGCCUUCUGAAAGGAAGAUUAAUACAAGAUGGCAUCAUGAGUCCGCAUGUUCACAUGAUUAAAGGUAUUCCGGUAGACGAUGGGGAUGCGUUCCAUUAGAUAGUAGGCGGGGUAACGGCCCACCUAGUCUUCGAUGGAUAGGGGUUCUGAGAGGAAGGUCCCCCACAUUGGAACUGAGACACGGUCCAAACUCCUACGGGAGGCAGCAGUGAGGAAUAUUGGUCAAUGGGCGAGAGCCUGAACCAGCCAAGUAGCGUGAAGGAUGACUGCCCUAUGGGUUGUAAACUUCUUUUAUAAAGGAAUAAAGUCGGGUAUGCAUACCCGUUUGCAUGUACUUUAUGAAUAAGGAUCGGCUAACUCCGUGCCAGCAGCCGCGGUAAUACGGAGGAUCCGAGCGUUAUCCGGAUUUAUUGGGUUUAAAGGGAGCGUAGAUGGAUGUUUAAGUCAGUUGUGAAAGUUUGCGGCUCAACCGUAAAAUUGCAGUUGAUACUGGAUAUCUUGAGUGCAGUUGAGGCAGGCGGAAUUCGUGGUGUAGCGGUGAAAUGCUUAGAUAUCACGAAGAACUCCGAUUGCGAAGGCAGCCCUGCUAAGCUGCAACUGACAUUGAGGCUCGAAAGUGUGGGUAUCAAACAGGAUUAGAUACCCUGGUAGUCCACACGGUAAACGAUGAAUACUCGCUGUUUGCGAUAUACAGCAAGCGGCCAAGCGAAAGCGUUAAGUAUUCCACCUGGGGAGUACGCCGGCAACGGUGAAACUCAAAGGAAUUGACGGGGGCCCGCACAAGCGGAGGAACAUGUGGUUUAAUUCGAUGAUACGCGAGGAACCUUACCCGGGCUUAAAUUGCAGAUGAAUUACGGUGAAAGCCGUAAGCCGCAAGGCAUCUGUGAAGGUGUUGCAUGGUUGUCGUCAGCUCGUGCCGUGAGGUGUCGGCUUAAGUGCCAUAACGAGCGCAACCCUUGUUGUCAGUUACUAACAGGUUCCGCUGAGGACUCUGACAAGACUGCCAUCGUAAGAUGUGAGGAAGGUGGGGAUGACGUCAAAUCAGCACGGCCCUUACGUCCGGGGCUACACACGUGUUACAAUGGGGGGGUACAGAGGGCCGCUACCACGCGAGUGGAUGCCAAUCCCAAAAACCUCUCUCAGUUCGGACUGGAGUCUGCAACCCGACUCCACGAAGCUGGAUUCGCUAGUAAUCACGCAUCAGCCACGGCGCGGUGAAUACGUUCCCGGGCCUUGUACACACCGCCCGUCAAGCCAUGGGAGCCGGGGGUACCUGAAGUGCGUAACCGCGAGGAGCGCCCUAGGGUAAAACUGGUGACUGGGGCUAAA
rnacentral:rRNA from 1 species